rnacentral:rRNA from 1 species
CCUACGGGUGGCAGCAGUGAGGAAUAUUGGUCAAUGGACGAGAGUCUGAACCAGCCAAGUAGCGUGAAGGAUGACUGCCCUAUGGGUUGUAAACUUCUUUUAUAUGGGAAUAAAAUGUUCCACGUGUGGGAUUUUGUAUGUACCAUAUGAAUAAGGAUCGGCUAACUCCGUGCCAGCAGCCGCGGUAAUACGGAGGAUCCGAGCGUUAUCCGGAUUUAUUGGGUUUAAAGGGAGCGUAGGUGGAUUGUUAAGUCAGUUGUGAAAGUUUGCGGCUCAACCGUAAAAUUGCAGUUGAAACUGGCAGUCUUGAGGACAGUAGAGGUGGGCGGAAUUCGUGGGGUAGCGGUGAAAUGCUUAGAUAUCACGAAGAACUCCGAUUGCGAAGGCAGUUCACUGGACUGCAACUGACACUGAGGCUCGAAAGUGUGGGUAUCAAACAGGAUUAGAUACCCCUGUAGUC